GGCCAACAUGAUAUGAGAAAAAAUGCUCAACAUUACUAAUCAUCAGAGAGAUGCAAAUCAAAACCACAAUGGGAUAACUUCUGAGCAGCAGUGAGAAUCUGGGAAGCAAGCUGAGGUAUUAUUAGUUGCCCUACAGAGACCCCAGCAGCAAAGAACCAAUGGAGGACCUGGCCUACAGAUAGAAAAAAACUGAGACCUUUAGUUCAACCGAAACCUGCUGCUUACUGGUGAGUGAACUGGGAGGAAGAUCCUACCCAGUCGACCCUCAGUUGAGACCACAGCCCCAGCCUCCCAAGAGGCCUUGAGGCAGAGACACCCAGCGGAGCCAUGCCAGGAUCCUAAAACACGUAAACUUUCAGAUAAUUAUAAUGCUUGUUACAAGCUAUAAGUUUGAGCAUUGUUGUCACCAGCAAUAAAUAUUAUUAUAUAGUAGA